GGCCGUUCUUAGUUCGUGGAGUGACUUGUGUGGUUAAUUCCGAUAACGAAUGCGACUCAAAUAUAUUAACUAGAUGCUUUCAGGAUUAUGGUUUUGAAGGUUUUACGGCCUUCAUUUACGAGCACAGUAAAAUGUGUUUAUAAAAGUGGAGCCGUACCUGUGGGUUUGUCCUUUCAUAGAACACUAGCUUCUUAAAUAGACAAAUUUGCGUCUAGCAAUAAUGAGAUUGAGCAAUAACAGGUCUGUG
rnacentral:ncRNA from 1 species